rnacentral:rRNA from 1 species
UACGUAGGGGGCUAGCGUUGUCCGGAAUCAUUGGGCGUAAAGAGCGUGUAGGCGGUCCGGUAAGUCCGCUGUGAAAGUCGGGGGCUCAACCCUCGAAUGCCGGUGGAUACUGUCGGGCUAGAGUGCGGAAGAGGCGAGUGGAAUUCCGUGGUGUAGCGGUGAAAUGCGCAGAUAUCAGGAGGAACACCUAUUGCGAAGGCAGCUCGCUGGGACGUUACUGACGCUGAGACGCGAAAGCGUGGGGAGCAAACAGG